rnacentral:rRNA from 1 species
AGAUUGAACGCUGGCGGCAUGCCUUACACAUGCAAGUCGAACGGCAGCACGGGGGUGACCCCUGGUGGCGAGUGGCGAACGGGUGAGUAAUAUAUCGGAACAUGCCCUGUAGCGGAGGAUAACGCGUCGAAAGAUGUGCUAAUACCGCAUACGCUCUACGGAGGAAAGCGGGGGUCGCAAGACCUCGCACUAUAGGAGUGGCCGAUAUCGGAUUAGCUAGUUGGCGGGUAAAAGCCCACCAAGGCGACGAUCCGUAGCUGGUCUGAGAGGAUGAUCAGCCACACUGGAACUGAGACACGGUCCAGACUCCUACGGGAGGCAGCAGUGGGGAAUUUUGGACAAUGGGCGCAAGCCUGAUCCAGCCAUGCCGCGUGAGUGAAGAAGGCCUUCGGUGUAAAGCUCUUUCGGCAGGAACGAAAUGGUUACGUGCUAAUACCAGGACUGAUGACGUACUGAAGAAGAAGCACGGCUAACUACGUG